GAUGAACGCUGGCGGCGUGCCUAAUACAUGCAAGUCGAGCGAACGGACGAGAAGCUUGCUUCUCUGAUGUUAGCGGCGGACGGGUGAGUAACACGUGGAUAACUUACCUAUAAGACUGGGAUAACUUCGGGAAACCGGAGCUAAUACCGGAUAAUAUUUUGAACCGCAUGGUUCAAAAGUGAAAGACGGUCUUGCUGUCACUUAUAGAUGGAUCCGCGCUGCAUUAGCUAGUUGGUAAGGUAACGGCUUACCAAGGCAACGAUGCAUAGCCGACCUGAGAGGGUGAUCGGCCACACUGGAACUGAGACACGGUCCAGACGCCUACGGGAGGCAGCAGUAGGGAAUCUUCCGCAAUGGGCGAAAGCCUGACGGAGCAACGCCGCGUGAGUGAUGAAGGUCUUCGGAUCGUAAAACUCUGUUAUUAGGGAAGAACAUAUGUGUAAGUAACUGUGCACAUCUUGACGGUACCUAAUCAGAAAGCCACGGCUAACUACGUG
rnacentral:rRNA from 1 species